AUGACAAUAACAGUAGCUGUAGAUGAUGUAAUGAAAAGUUGGAGGGUGCUUGGUGAUGAAGAACAUCAGGUGGACCCAUGUCUGGGUGUUGGGCAGAACCCCCCAGGUCCUGGAGAACAGGUAAUGGAGGACAUCAGUUGGACAGAUCGAGUGAAAAAAGCCGUUUCCCCACACAAUAUCUCUCCUUCUCACUAUCACGCAAUAGGUUUCACUUCCCCACACAAUAUCUCUCCUUCUCACUAUCACGCAAUAGGUUUCCCUUCCCCACAUGACAUCUCUCCUUCUCACUAUCACGCAAUAGGUUUAGCUUCCCCACAUGACAUCUCUCCUUCUCACUAUCACGCAAUAGGUUUCACUUCCCCACACAAUAUCUCUCCUUCUCACUAUCACGCAAUAGGUUUCCCUUCCCCACAUGACAUCUCUCCUUCUCACUAUCACGCAAUAGGUUUAGCUUCCCCACAUGACAUCUCUCCUUCUCACUAUCACGCAAUAGGUUUAGCUUCCCCACAUGACAUCUCUCCUUCUCACUAUCACGCAAUAGGUUUCCCUUCCCCACAUGACAUCUCUCCUUCUCACUAUCACGCAAUAGGUUUCGCUUCCCCACAUGACAUCUCUCCUUCUCACUAUCACGCAAUAGGUUUCACUUCCCCACAUGACAUCUCUCCUUCUCACUAUCACGCAAUAGGUUUCACUUCCCCACAUGACAUCUCUCCUUCUCACUAUCACGCAAUAGGUUUCGCUUCCCCACAUGACAUCUCUCCUUCUCACUAUCACGCAAUAGGUUUAGCUUCCCCACAUGACAUCUCUCCUUCUCACUAUCACGCAAUAGGUUUCGCUUCCCCACAUGACAUCUCUCCUUCUCACUAUCACGCAAUAGGUUUCGCUUCCCCACAUGACAUCUCUCCUUCUCACUAUCACGCAAUAGGUUUCGUUUCCCCACACAAUAUCUCUCCUUCUCACUAUCACGCAAUAGGUUUCGCUUCCCCACAUGACAUCUCUCCUUCUCACUAUCACGCAAUAGGUUUCGCUUCCCCACAUGACAUCUCUCCUUCUCACUAUCACGCAAUAGGUUUCGCUUCCCCACAUGACAUCUCUCCUUCUCACUAUCACGCAAUAGGUUUCCCUUCCCCACAUGACAUCUCUCCUUCUCACUAUCACGCAAUAGGUUUCGCUUCCCCACAUGACAUCUCUCCUUCUCACUAUCACGCAAUAGGUUUCACUUCCCCACAUGACAUCUCUCCUUCUCACUAUCACGCAAUAGGUUUCGCUUCCCCACAUGACAUCUCUCCUUCUCACUAUCACGCAAUAGGUUUCGCUUCCCCACAUGACAUCUCUCCUUCUCACUAUCACGCAAUAGGUUUAGCUUCCCCACAUGACACCUCUCCUUCUCACUAUCACGCAAUAGGUUUCGCUUCCCCACAUGACAUCUCUCCUUCUCACUAUCACGCAAUAGGUUUCGCUUCCCCACAUGACAUCUCUCCUUCUCACUAUCACGCAAUAGGUUUCGCUUCCCCACAUGACACCUCUCCUUCUCACUAUCACGCAAUAGGUUUCGCUUCCCCACAUGACAUCUCUCCUUCUCACUAUCACGCAAUAGGUUUAGCUUCCCCACAUGACACCUCUCCUUCUCACUAUCACGCAAUAGGUUUCGCUUCCCCACAUGACACCUCUCCUUCUCACUAUCACGCAAUAGGUUUAGCUUCCCCACAUGACAUCUCUCCUUCUCACUAUCACGCAAUAGGUUUCGCUUCCCCACCCACCAUAUUUAAAAAGACCCAACGGAGCUCAUUGCCUUCUUGA
rnacentral:lncRNA from 1 species